AUUGAACGCUGGCGGCAUGCCUUAAACAGGAAGGUGGACGGGCGGAACGGGGGCAAUCCGGUGGGCGAUUGGCGAACGGUGGGGUAUUAUAUCGAAAGGUCCCCGGCGGGGGGGGAGGAGCAGGCGAAGGCUGUGUUAUUCCGGCAAACGAUCUCGGAAGGAAAGGGGGGGACGGCAAAACCCCGGGGGAUUGAACGGGCGGAUAUCAGAUUAGCUAGUGGGGGGGGUAAGGGCCCACCAGGGCGACGAUCGGUAGCUGGUCUGAGAGGACGACCAGCCACACUGGAACUGAGACACGGUCCAGACUCCUACGGGAGGCAGCAGUGGGGAAUUUUGGACAAUGGGCGCAAGCCCGAUCCAGCAAUGCCGCGUGCAGGAUGAAGGCCUUCGGGUUGUAAACUGCUUUUGUACGGAACGAAACGGCCCUUUCUAAUACAGGGGGCUAAUGACGGUACCGUAAGAAUAAGCACCGGCUAACUACGUGCCAGCCGCCGCCGUAACAC
rnacentral:rRNA from 1 species